rnacentral:rRNA from 1 species
CCCAUUUUCUUUAUACCCUAGUAUUCAUUUGGCUAUGUUUGAUUGGUUUUAGGUUGGGGUGACCACGGAGCAUAAAAUAACCUCCACGAAGAAGAGACUAAUAAUCUUUAUCAAAGAAGUACACUUCUAAGAAUUAACAAAUUAAUUUCCAAUGAUCCGAUAUUCGAUCAACGAACCAAGUUACCCUGGGGAUAACAGCGCAAUCCACCUCAAGAGCUCCUAUCGACAGGUGGGUUUACGACCUCGAUGUUGGAUCAGGAUAUCCCAGUGGUGUAGCAGCUACUAAAGGUUCGUUUGUUCAACGAUUAAAAUCCU